CCUACGGGAGGCUGCAGUGGGGAAUAUUGGACAAUGGGCGAAAGCCUGAUCCAGCCAUGCCGCGUGUGUGAAGAAGGCCUUCGGGUUGUAAAGCACUUUCAGUGGGGAAGAAAGCCUUGGGGCUAAUACCCUCGAGGAAGGACAUCACCCACAGAAGAAGCACCGGCUAACUCCGUGCCAGCAGCCGCGGUAAUACGGAGGGUGCGAGCGUUGAAUCGGAAUUACUGGGCGUAAAGCGCGCGUAGGCGGUCUGAUAAGCCGGUUGUGAAAGCCCCGGGCUCAACCUGGGAACGGCAUCCGGAACUGUCAGGCUAGAGUGCAGGAGAGGAAGGUAGAAUUCCCGGUGUAGCGGUGAAAUGCGUAGAGAUCGGGAGGAAUACCAGUGGCGAAGGCGGCCUUCUGGACUGACACUGACGCUGAGGUGCGAAAGCGUGGGUAGCAAACAGGAUUAGAUACCCUAGUGUC
rnacentral:rRNA from 1 species